rnacentral:rRNA from 1 species
AUGGCAACAGCAGCUCAGAAAACAACUGAUGGAUACGGGAUUGGGUGUAGCACAGAGGGAAUUGGGGGUGAUAAAGUGUUCACAGAUUUUGCAGGUAUUAUUAUCAACAAGGUCGAGCAGUACUCCAACAAGUGCAAGACAGCUGUAAAUGAGGCAUCAAGGAAGGGAGCAAGAUUAAACAAGAGACACGCAGAAGGAUGGGAUGAGAUUGUCAAUGAUACUAACGGGUUAGUACUCUCAGAAACUGAGAAGAUAAUUGCAGACAUCAACCAGAUAACUGAUGCAAUGAGGGCACGAAAGUAG